rnacentral:rRNA from 1 species
UGCCAGACUCCUACGGGAGGCAGCAGUGGGGAAUAUUGCACAAUGGGGGAAACCCUGAUGCAGCGACGCCGCGUGAAGGAAGAAGUAUCUCGGUAUGUAAACUUCUAUCAGCAGGGAAGAAAACAGACGGUACCUGACUAAGAAGCCCCGGCUAACUACGUGCCAGCAGCCGCGGUAAUACGUAGGGGGCAAGCGUUAUCCGGAUUUACUGGGUGUAAAGGGGGCGCAGACGGCCAUGGCAAGCCCGGUGUGAAAGACAGGGGCAUAACCCCUGGACUGCACUGGGAACUGUCAGGCUGGAGUGCCGGAGGGGUAAGCGGAAUUCCUGGUGUAGCGGUGAAAUGCGUAGAUAUCAGGAGGAACACCGGCGGCGAAGGCGGCUUACUGGACGGAAACUGACGUUGAGGCUCGAAAGCGUGGGGAGCAAACAGGAUUAGAUACCCUGGUA